rnacentral:tRNA from 1 species
GGGCCUGUAGCGCAGUUGGGAGCGCAUCACAUUCGCAUUGUGGGGGUCGAGAGUUCGAAUCUCUUCAGGUCCA